UUAGGAGGAGCAGGCCGGUAAUGUGAGUAGGGAGGUAAUUGAGACAGGCCAGGGAGAGUGUUUGGUGCAGGAGGGGCCAGCAGGGCUGGGUAUUCUUUGGAGAGAAAAGUCAGGAUCUGAGCCAGAGUCUGAACAGCCACUAUCUCCUCGAGAAAGCAGAAGGGAAAAACGUCAGUAGCCGGUGAGGGAAUUACGAAGGCUAGCAAGAAGCAAGAAGCCGGAUUGAAUCUAUGGCAGCUGGCAGGGGUGGUGUGUUGAUUAAGUGCACGUGGCCGCUGACUAUAAAGCGGGCAGCCUGUGCUGUCCCUUGAACAAUCUGCUGGAAACAACACGUCAAAUUGGCUUGGAGCUUUUGUCAGAGAGAUUGUGACGUCGGAAUUCGGGCUGCUCACUCCUCACUUCUGUAAUCUUGCCUCACCUGCCUGGAAUAUCCCCCCACUUGCAUAUUCAUGACUGGACCAAUGCCCCUGCUCAAGCAGGAAGAUGGCAACCUGGGAACCAAAAGGCAACCAGAGAUAAAAAGGCCCUUUGGUUGUGAAAUAUUUCUUCUGGCAGGAAAGUCAGGCUUAGAAACAACAGGGAGCUGUGGCUACAGAGACUGCAAAAUCUUCAGAGAACUGUCUAUGCUUCUAACUCCGGAUUUCAGCAAUGGACACCUUGCCAGGUUCUGAUCAUCUGUUGCUACUAAGGCCCUAGAUCGGCUCCUUUGCUGGAUCCAAGCUGCACUGCCCUCCUCGCUAACACCUGGAGCUGGCUUCACGAGAACAGACACCCUUUGGAUCCAACCCUGCUAUCUAACUCCCUUGAUUCUCCACUACUUCCUGCUUCCCGGUCGACCACCGAGGAAAGAGAUCUGUUGGUCACUCCUGAGCCAUGAGGACCCACCUACUACUGAAGGAAGAACCAAGGUUGUAUGAUAACUGCUACUCCCCAAUCUUGGCCCCUUCUAUCCCUCUCUCUUAUCUCCUAAAUCCAAGAGCUUGUUUCUCUGAGCCUCCUUUCUCUGUCCAGCCUAGAAGCUACUUCAAUUCGGACACUAAGCUAAAUUUCCUCUUACAAGUUGUAUGGUUAAUCUUGUAACAUAUUUUUAGUAAUAAUAUUGCUUUCCAUGACUCUCUUAUUCCAUUGUUCCCCUUAUCCUCAAAUAAACCCUUCUUUGUUUUUGGAA